rnacentral:lncRNA from 1 species
GUGCAAUGAAGCUGCCACUGUCAAAACCACAGAGCCCUCUUAACAUUGCUUUUGCAGCAUCCCAGAGAUUUUGAUAUGUUGUGGCUUUGUUUUCAUUUAUUCCAAAUAAUUUUUAAAUUUCUGCCUUAAUUUCAUUGUUUACCCAAAAGUCAUUCAGGAGCAAGUUGCUUAAUUUCCAUGUAAUUGUGUGGUUUUGAGAGAUCUCCUUGGCAUUUCUGUUUUCCACUGUGGUCCAAGAGUAUGGUUGGUACAAUUUCGAUCUUUUUUAAUUUUUUGAGACUUGCAUUAUGGCUGAGCACAUGGUCAAUCUUUGAGUAUGUCCCAUGUGAUAUGUCCCAUGUGAAGAAAAUAUAUAUCCUGUGGUUGAUGGGUGGAGUAUUUUCUUUUUUUUUUUUUUUUUUUUUUGGUGGAGUAUUUUCUAGAUAUCUAUUAUGUCCAAUUGGUCAAGUGUUCAAUUUAAGUCUAGAAUUUCUUUGUUAGUAAAAGCAGUGUUAAGAGGAAAGUUUAUGUUUUAACUGGUUGAUAUAUCUUUUAA